rnacentral:rRNA from 1 species
AUUGAACGCUGGCGGCAGGCCUAACACAUGCAAGUCGAACGAGUGGCGGACGGGUGAGUAAUGUCUGGGAAACUGCCUGAUGGAGGGGGAUAACUACUGGAAACUGUAGCUAAUACCGCAUACCAUCGGAUGUGCCCUGGUGGGAGUAGCUAGUGGGUGGGGUAAAGGCUCACCUAGGCGACGAUCCCUAGCUGGUCUGAGAGGAUGACCAGCCAAACGGGAACUGAGACACGGUCAAGACUCUUACGGGAGGCAGCAGUGGGGAAUAUUGGACAAUGGGCGAAAGCCUGAUGCAGCCAUGCGGCGUGUAUGAAGAAGGCCUUCGGGGUUUAAAGUACUUUCAGCGGGGAGGCGUUACCCGCAGAAGAAGCACCGGCUAACUCCGUGCCAGCAGCCGCGGUAAUAC